rnacentral:rRNA from 1 species
CCCAGACUCCUACGGGAGGCAGCAGUGGGGGAUAUUGCACAAUGGGGGGAACCCUGAUGCAGCGACGCCGCGUGGGUGAAGGAGCGUUUCGGCGCGUAAAGCCCUAUCGGCAGGGAAGAAGGAGGACGGUACCUGACUAAGAAGCCCCGGCUAACUACGUGCCAGCAGCCGCGGUAAUACGUAGGGGGCAAGCGUUAUCCGGAUUUACUGGGUGUAAAGGGGGCGCAGACGGCAGCGCAAGCCAGGAGUGAAAGCCCGGGGCCCAACCCCGGGACUGCUCUUGGAACUGCGCGGCUGGAGUGCAGGAGGGGCAGGCGGAAUUCCUGGUGUAGCGGUGAAAUGCGUAGAUAUCAGGAGGAACACCGGUGGCGAAGGCGGCCUGCUGGACUGCGACUGACGUUGAGGCCCGAAAGCGUGGGGAGCAAACAGGAUUAGAUACCCUGGUACA